UGGGGAAUCUUCCGCAAUGGGCGAAAGCCUGACGGAGCAACGCCGCGUGAGUGAAGAAGUAUUUCGGUAUGUAAAGCUCUAUCAGCAGGGAAGAAAAUGACGGUACCUGACUAAGAAGCCCCGGCUAACUACGUGCCAGCAGCCGCGGUAAUACGUAGGGGGCAAGCGUUAUCCGGAUUUACUGGGUGUAAAGGGAGCGUAGACGGCGAGACAAGUCUGAAGUGAAAGCCCGGGGCUCAACCCCGGGACUGCUUUGGAAACUGCCUUGCUAGAGUGCUGGAGAGGUAAGUGGAAUUCCUAGUGUAGCGGUGAAAUGCGUAGAUAUUAGGAGGAACACCAGUGGCGAAGGCGGCUUACUGGACAGUAACUGACGUUGAGGCUCGAAAGCGUGGGGAGCAAACA
rnacentral:rRNA from 1 species